CCAGACUCCUACGGGAGGCAGCAGUGAGGAAUAUUGGUCAAUGGGCGGGAGCCUGAACCAGCCAAGCCGCGUGAGGGAAGAAGGUACAGCGUAUCGUAAACCUCUUUUGUCAGGGAACAAAGGCGGGGACUAGUCCCCGGAUGAGGGUACCUGAAGAAAAAGCACCGGCUAACUACGUGCCAGCAGCCGCGGUAAUACGUAGGGUGCAAGCGUUAUCCGGAUUUACUGGGUGUAAAGGGCGAGUAGACGGCGAUGCAAGUCAGAUGUGAAAUGCUAGGGCUUAACCUUAGAACUGCAUCUGAAACUGUAUUGCUAGAGUGCAGGAGAGGUAAGCGGAAUUCCUAGUGUAGCGGUGAAAUGCGUAGAUAUUAGGAGGAACAUCAGUGGCGAAGGCGGCUUACUGGACUGUAACUGACGUUGAGGCGCGAAAGCGUGGGGAGCAAACAGGAUUAGAUACCCGAGUA
rnacentral:rRNA from 1 species